UUUUUUUUUUUAAAUCUUUUCCACGUGGGCAGCAUUUUAGGAAAUAUCAUUGAGAGCGCCGGAGGUCUUUACAAUCAGGAGGAUCUUCAGGGGAAACCGACACAUCUCUUUUCCACUCAAAAGCCACGUCGCGGUUCCUGAAUCCAACCGUUCCACAGAACACCUGCAGAAACCGGCUCCGCCUGGCCUCCGGCGAAGGUUUCUGGGCACGUCGAUGAGGAAUUCGAACUCCUUCUACCGUUUCCCUCCCCUGAAGUCACUCCAUCUGGAUGGAACGGGCGACCAAGUGCUUCACAGUGUGAAAACCCCAAAAAAGAAAUGUCGCAAGGACAUUCCACUGAACUCUCUCUUCCCCACUGGUCCUUCUCGGGACAUUUUUCGACAUAUUUCCAGGCUGAGAUCCCAUCUUACCUUGAAGCUGUUUAAACCUGCCCUCCAGCUGGUUGUAGUUGAAGGCCGCCUGGCUCGAGAACCCGGGGCU